rnacentral:rRNA from 1 species
GACGAACGCUGGCGGCGUGCUUAACACAUGCAAGUCGAACGGAAAGGCCCUGCUUUUGUGGGGUGCUCGAGUGGCGAAAGGGUGAGUAACACGUGAGUAGCCUGCCCUUGACUUUGGGAUAACUUCAGGAAACUGGGGCUAAUACCGGAUAGGAGCUCCUGCUGCAUGGUGGGGGUUGGAAAGUUUCGGCGGUUGGGGAUGGACUCGCGGCUUAUCAGCUUGUUGGUGGGGUAGUGGCUUACCAAGGCUUUGACGGGUAGCCGGCCUGCGAGGGUGACCGGCCACAUUGGGACUGAGAUACGGCCCAGACGCCUACGGGAGGCAGCAGUGGGGAAAAUUGCACAAUGGGCGGAAGCCUGAUGCAGCAACGCCGCGUGGUGGAGGACGGCCUUCGGGUUGUAAACCGCUUUCGCCUGUGACGAAGCGUGAGUGACGGUAAUGGGUAAAGAAGCACCGGCUAACUACGUG